GAGGUCCCCGACAACUGGCCUCAAUAUCUAAGACUCACUGUAGGAGUCAGGGAGAAGGGCUUUGUGAGUCUCAGCUCCACUUACGUCAGGCUUGACUGUGAGAUGGCAGUUAUUAUGGUCUGGUGAAACGAUGUGUGAUUGGAUUAGAACGUCAGAUGAGCUGGGUUUAAAACUUCCCUGUCCUGAAGACCCAUUGUUCAUCUCUGAUUUGUCCUCAAAGGAGAAACCGGUGCCUCAAACGUCAAUCUCUCCAUUCAGAAGGUUCAAAGAUGCAGCUCACCCUCUGUGCUUCUCUCUAGGCUUCAUUAUCUUUUUCACAGUGUCCUCAGAUUCAGCCUGUCGCAGCUGGCAGGACUCCCUUCACAUUCAAGACUGGACAGAAUUCUGCUGUGUAGGCAGGCCACACUGCUUCUCACUCACCUGUGAGUGACUGCCUGGUCACCUCUGUCUCAGCUACUGUUGUGAAGAUGGUCACACAAAUGUGUGUCCAGGAAGGCUGCUUCUGGGAAGAAGCCAGGAAGGACACUGCUGGAGACAGCAGAAGGUGAUGGCAGAGGCAUCUUGCAAGCACAUCUGUAGGCUGCACUGGCCGCUCUGUUACAGCGCUCAGUCCCAGGACAGAGGGCAGGGACACAGUGAAAAAGAAGGGAUAACCGUGCU